UACGGAGGGUGCAAGCGUUAUCCGGAUUUACUGGGUUUAAAGGGUGCGUAGGCGGAUUUGUAAGUCAGUGGUGAAAGCCUGGAGCUUAACUCCGGAAUUGCCAUUGAUACUGCUUUUCUUGAGUACAGUUGAGGUGCGCGGAAUGUGUCAUGUAGCGGUGAAAUGCUUAGAUAUGACACAGAACACCGAUUGCGAAGGCAGCUCGCUAAACUGUAACUGACGCUGAGGCACGAAAGCGUGGGGAUCGAACAGG
rnacentral:rRNA from 1 species